rnacentral:pre_miRNA from 1 species
GAGACACCCUUAAGGGGCAGAACUUGCUUCAGUGGGCUUUGGUGCUCACUGAGUCUGCCCCUUGAGUGUGUUGCU